CCCGCUGAACUUAAGCAUAUUAGUAAGCGGAGGAAAAGAAAUUAACUAAGAUUCCCUCAGUAACUGCGAGUGAACCGGGAAAAGCCCAGCCCUGAAUCGGACCAAAAUCCGAAUUGUGGGGUUUGUUGGGAUUGGUCUAUGGCAUUGAGGCGAUACUGAAUUCAUCCUGGAAAGGUGGACCAUAGAGGGUGAUAGUCCCGUAGGUGUCGCUUCUGGUGUCGGACCGGUUUCAGCUAGAGUCGAGCUGUUUGGGAGUACAGCUCUAACGGGUGAUAAAUUUCAUCCAAGGCUAAAUAUUAACGCGAGACCGAUAGCGCACAAGUACCGCGAGGGAAAGAUGCAAAGAACUCUGAAAAGAGAGUUAAAAGUACAUGAAACCGUCGUGAGGUAAAGCGGUGGGCCGGGUACUAUCCUCUGGUUGAGGGAUCGAUUUAGAGUGGCCUCUUGGUGUUUGUCUUGGGGUGCCGGUAACGGUAUUUCGGGCAGAUACUAGUGGGGUCUCCCUGGGUUUAUUCCCUUGAUUGGGGGGUCAUCGGAUAUUUGUUUCGGUCGCGAACGGCUUGGUAGUCGUCUCCGGACGAUGAAGGGCUUUAGAGAUCGGGAUGGAUAUAGGCGUCUCCUAUAUGGGGACGAUGGGUAGCGCUCAGCGCUUAUGAUUAGCUACCCUCGUCGAUGAUCGUUACAGUACCAGACCCACUGACCCGUCUUGAAACACGG
rnacentral:rRNA from 1 species